rnacentral:rRNA from 1 species
GAAUUUUAUAUAUAAAUUUAUUGAAUAAAUUAGGAAAUAAAUAUAAAUAGUUGAGUUAAAUAAAUUAAUAUAUUUAGUUGGGAGGAUUAUUAAAUUUUAUAAACUUUAAUUAAUUUAAAUAUUAAUUUGUAGAAUUUAUGAUGGGUUAUUUUAAUAACUAAAUUAGAAUUAAUUACCUUAGGGAUAACAGCGUAAUAAUUUUGGAAAGGUCAUAUUGAUAAAAUUGAUUGC